rnacentral:lncRNA from 1 species
AAAAAAAAGAGACGGGCCAGCCCGAAAAGACCGGGCCCAUCCCUCUUUUUACGAUCGUGCCCUAGGCACGAUCGUGGAUGAAAGGAGGGUGCAAAGGGGGGGGGGGCGGCGCUAGAGAGGGCGAUCGCCGGAGGAGGCCGGUCGUCGGGGGAGCUUGACCGCCGGAGAAGAGGGCGAUCGUGGGGGAAGGCGGCGGAUUUCGCAAGCCGGCGGGUCAAGGAGGAGGAUCCCCACCAAACACACGAAAAGGCCUCGGAUCCAUGGGUUUACUUACGGAUUUCUCCACCGAUUUCUCGCCGAAAGGGCCGCCG